rnacentral:rRNA from 1 species
UACAGAGGUCUCAAGCGUUGUUCGGAUUCAUUGGGCGUAAAGGGUGCGUAGGCGGCGGGGCAAGUCAGGUGUGAAAUCCCGGAGCUCAACUCCGGAACUGCACUUGAUACUGCCUCGCUAGAGUACUGGAGAGGAGACUGGAAUUUACGGUGUAGCAGUGAAAUGCGUAGAUAUCGGAAGGAACAUCAGUGGCGAAAGCGGCUUCCUGGACCAGUACCGACGUUCAGGCACGAAAGCGUGGGGAGCAAACAGG